rnacentral:SRP_RNA from 1 species
GCUGGGUGUGGUGGCACGUGCCUGUAGUCCCAGGUGCUAGGGAGGCUGAGGUGGGAGGAUUGCUUGAGCACAGGAGGUCAAGGCUGCAGUGAGCCAUGAUUGUACCACUGCACUCCAGCCUGGGCAACAGAGCAAGACCCUGUCUCAU